AGCGAACGUUUGCGGCGGGCCUAACACAUGCAAGUCGAACGGGCAGGGCAACCUGUCAGUGGCGCACGGGUGCGUAACACGUGGGUAAUCAACCCUCCAGACUGGGACAACCCGGGGAAACUCGGGCUAAUACCGGAUGUGACGCGCGGGUCCUCGGACCUGCGCGUGAAAGCCUCGCAAGGGGCCCUGGAGGACGACCCCGGGGCCCAUCAGCUCGUUGGUGAGGUAACGGCUCACCAAGGCGAAGGCGGGUAGCUGGUCUGAGAGGAUGAUCAGCCACACUGGAACUGAGACACGGUCCAGACUCCUACGGGAGGCAGCAGUGGGGAAUAUUGCGCAAUGGGCGGAAGCCUGACGCAGCCACGCCGCGUGUGCGAUGAAGGUCUUCGGAUCGUAAAGCACUGUGGGGGGAGAAGAACCAAGCCGGUGAAGAGCCGGCCCUGACGGUAUCCCCUUAGCAAGCACCGGCUAACUCCGUGCCAGCAGCCGCAGUAA
rnacentral:rRNA from 1 species